rnacentral:snoRNA from 1 species
AGUAAAGGAUGAAUUAAAAAGGAAAUGACAAGCAUAUGUCUGACUCUAUUUGAAGAGAAACUUAAGUCUGAUAUU